GAGGAGCUGGUGAUGCCUGCGGGAGUGAGGGGAUCCAAGCCAUUACAAAUGGGGGGAAAAGGGCCGGUCAAGACAAUAGAGCUACAUAAUCCAAAGAAGGAUCAAACUGAUCUUGGUCCUGUGACCUUUUGCCCUUCCUUUAAUUCUCUAUACUGAACAUCUGUGUUUCGUGGUCAACGUCUGAAAGUAAUAAAGACAAUUAGAG
rnacentral:lncRNA from 1 species